GCCGGAAUAGCUCAGUGUAGAGC
rnacentral:tRNA from 1 species